GACGAACGCUGGCGGCGUGCUUAACACAUGCAAGUCGAACGGUGAAGCGCCUUCCUUUUUGGUGGGUGUGGAUGAGUGGCGAACGGGUGAGUAACACGUGAGUAACCUGCCCCCUUCUUCUGGAUAACCGCAUGAAAGUGUGGCUAAUACGGGAUAUUCUGGGUCUGUCGCAUGAUGGGUCUGGGUCAGAUAUUGUUUCGGUGGGGGAUGGGCUCGCGGCCUUUCAGCUUGUUGGUGGGGUGAUGGCCUACCAAGGCGGUGACGGUUAGCCGGCCUGGGAGGGUGGACGGUCACACUGGGACUGAGACCCCGCCCAGACUCAUACGGGAGGCAGCCGUGUGGAAGAGUGCACAAUGGGCGAAAGCCUGAUGCAGCCGCGCCGCGUGAGGGAUGGAGGCCUUCGGGUUGUGAACCUCUUUCGCCAGUGAAGCAGGCCUGCCUCGUAUGUGGGUGGGUUGACGGUAGCUGGAUAAGAAGCGCCGGCUAACUACGUG
rnacentral:rRNA from 1 species